AGAGUUUGAUCCUGGCUAGAUUAUUGAACGCUGGCGAGCACGCCUAUCACUUAGCAAUUCGAGCGGAGUAGUGAGAGCUUGCUCCAUGAUUCAUCGGCGGACGGGUGAGUAAUGCCUGUGAAUCUGCCGAUUAGUGAGGGACUACGUGUCGAAAUAGAUCGCUGAUACCGCAUACGUCCUACAGGAGACAGCAUGGGACCUUCGGGCCUUACGCUGAUAAAUAAGCGUAGGUCGGAUUAGCUACUUCGUCACGUGUUGGCUCUCCAAGGCAAGAUCCGUAUCUGGUCUGAGAAGAUGAUCACUCACCGGCGAACUGAAACUCAGUCCAUACUCCUACGGGAGGCAGCAGUGGGGAAUAUUGGACAUGAGGGCAACCUGAUCACCCAUGCCGCGUGUGUGAAGAAGGCUUUCAGGUUGUAAAGCACUUUCAGUGAGGAGGACAACCUUAAGUUUAAUACGCUUGAGGCUUGACGUUACUCACAGAAGAAACACCGGCUAACUCCGUGCCAGCAGCCGCGGUAAUACAGAGGGUGCAUGCGUUAAGCGGAAUUACUGGGCGUAGUCACGCGUAGGUGGUUUGUACUCGAGAUGUGAGACCCCGGGCUCAACCUGGGGAACGGCAUUUCGAACUGUCAGGCUAAAUUAUAGUAGAGGACUGUGGAUUUCCUGUGUACCGGUGAAAUGCCUAAAUAUAGGAAUGAACACCCUUGCGAAUGCGGCACUCUAGACCAUUACUGACUCUGAAGUGCCAAGCUUGGGGACCAAACAGGAUCAAAUACCCUGGUUAUUCCAGCCUGUUA
rnacentral:rRNA from 1 species